UUAAUUCCAACACUUACUCUUGACAACUUUCCAAGUAGGAAAUCCUUUUGCCUGUUGAUGAAAUUGUUGUUGCAGUUUUUGUCCAACGUGGGGCUAAUUCUUUUUUUUUUAAUAAUUUAUUUUGACUGAAGCAUAGCUGUUGUACAAUAUAAGUUACAGGUGUACAGCUGAGUGAUUCACAAUUUUUAAAGAUUAUGCUCCAUUUAUAGUUAUUAUAAAAUCUUGCCUAUAUUCCCUGUGGUGUGCAAUAUAUCCUUGUAGCUUAUUUUAUACCUAAUAAUCCGUACCUCUUAAUCCCCUCAGAUGGGAA